rnacentral:rRNA from 1 species
UACGGUGGGAGCAAGCGUUGUUCGGAUUUACUGGGCGUAAAGGGCGCGUAGGCGGCCACCGCAAGUCGACUGUGAAAUCUCCGGGCUUAACCCGGAAAGGUCAGCCGAUACUGCGGGGCUAGAGUGCAGAAGGGGCAACUGGAAUUCUCGGUGUAGCGGUGAAAUGCGUAGAUAUCGAGAGGAACACCUGCGGCGAAGGCGGGUUGCUGGGCUGACACUGACGCUGAGGCGCGAAAGCUAGGGGAGCGAACGGG